CAAACCAAAAAAACUUCCUGACUUGGCUGUUCGUAACGCUGGGGUAGCUAUAUUUCAUUAAAAUGAGUUAUCUUGCGAAAUAACCUAUAUAAAGCGACCACAAUUAUACCUUAUGUUUCAGAGCAUUAUCAUAAUUGUCUCAGGUAAGUUGUUAGCUUCUUCAGCUUCAGGGAGUCUCGCUAUAAUAGCUGCUACUGGUUGUUUUAUUUUAGAACAGAACCGUUCUGAGUGAAGCCAUGAUGGCGUCGAGCUACAACGCGAAGGAAGACGGUCACGUCACCGUACCUGGUGGUGGGACCAUCCAGAAUAAAAAGCCCGAUAACACAGCUUUUAAACAACAACGAUUACCUGCUUGGCAACCCAUCCUGACAGCUGGCACAGUUCUUCCAGCUUUCUUCGUUAUCGGGCUUAUCUUCAUCCCCAUUGGUAUCGGCCUCUACGUCACGUCCAACAACAUCAAGGAGUUCGAGAUUGAUUAUACUGGGACUGACAUGUCCAGCCCAUGCUUCAACUGCUCCCAGAGCUUUAGUUGGAACAGCACAAGACCAUGCACCUGUGCACUGCCCUUCUCUCUGGAACAGCCCUUUGAAAGCAACGUAUUCAUGUAUUAUGGCCUGUCCAACUUCUACCAAAAUCACCGGCGCUAUGUCAAGUCCAGGGAUGACAGUCAACUGAAUGGUGACACCACCUCUCUAAUGAACCCCAGUAAAGAGUGUGAGCCCUAUGCUCGCAAUGAAAAAAUGCCAAUUGCUCCCUGUGGUGCAAUCGCCAACAGCAUGUUUAAUGACACUUUGGAUCUGUAUUACAUUGACCCUAAUGGCACAAGAAUCCAAAUUCCUCUGAUGAAGAAGGGGAUCGCUUGGUGGACAGAUAAGCAUGUGAAGUUCAGGAAUCCUGGAGGCAACCCCAACCUCACAAGUGCUUUUCAAGGUACAACCAAGCCGAUCAACUGGCGCAAGCCUGUCUAUGAACUAGACACAGACGCUGAGAAUAACGGCUUCAUCAAUGAGGACUUCAUUGUGUGGAUGCGUACAGCUGCCCUCCCCACUUUCCGUAAGCUGUACCGUAUUAUCCAAAAGAAGAACAACAUGACGCCGACACUUCCCCGUGGCAACUACACCCUGGAAGUCACCUACAACUAUCCUGUUCGUAGCUUUGAAGGCCGGAAGCGUGUGAUCCUGAGCACCAUCUCCUGGAUGGGGGGCAAGAACCCUUUCCUGGGCAUCGCUUACAUCACUGUGGGCUCUGUCUGCUUCUUCCUGGGAGUGGUCCUCCUCAUCAUCCACCACAAAUAUGGCAGCCGCAACAACACCGCUGACAUCCCUAACUAAAGACAUCUUGUAUGUAUUUUGCAUGCUGGCUAGCAGAGGCAUGGGCGUAACCAGUGGCUAAUUACAAGCAUUGGUGGUCUCUUGUCUGGCUUGUGUACUGUGUGUAAGAAUGGCCUGCUUGUCAAAAGUGCUGUGCAAGUAUUGGAAGCGCAAAGACGUCAGGGGAGAGUUCACUCAUAUUUAUUUUUCAUGGUCAGAAAGCUAUGCAGUUAACGUAGGUUUUUCUGUCAAGAUGUUGUAUUGACAGUAAGUUGAAAUGUAAUGACGCUACAUCAAUGUGCAGAUAGUACCGUUUUAAUUCAGAAAUAUGUGUGUGUCUGUCAUAGAUGUUUAUUAGUUCUAUAUGAAUAAAUUAUUUAAAAUAAUGUUUGAAUAUGGUCAAGCGAAUUGGAACAGUCCAUUAGGCUAAAUGUUGAAUUGCUUUGAGUCAAGGCUGUUUAUUCAUACAAGUAUGUUCUUGUUACAUACAUUACAGUAGUUUGAGGAACAUAUUUCUGGUCUGUUUACGCUACAGAUGGGUCUCUAUAGAUUGCACAAGGAUGUGCACAGAUUUUCAGGUCAAGCGUUAUGGAAGGCUUGCAAUGUUUUCAAUGUACUUUAGAACUUAUUUUCUCAGUGUAUAAAUAGUAAUUAUGUUCAGCUGCCUAAAAUAUGCAGAGUCAAGUUUAAGUAACAUAACACAUGAAAAUAGUAAAUUUCAAGGUUUUCAGGGACCAAAGCUCCUUGUAGCCUGGGCGCCAGUCUUUCUGCAUUCUUGCAAAUUCAUUAUGUAAAACAUGUUUAGCAUUACAAAUAAGUAGGCAAGAACACAGACAUACCUUGGACCAGUCUAGCAUUCAUUUUAUUCUAUGGAAAAACAUCCUUAUUUAUUUUCUUACUAAGAUUGUUGCAAAUUGGUGAAAUAUGUUUUGCACGAGUUACCUGUUACCUGGAGAUAAUACGCCUGUUGCUUGACAAAUAAAAUAAUAUCUGGACAACUCAUGUUGUUAACCAGAAUUGUAUUUGAAAAUGGUUGGAAAAAUGUUUCAAAAUUGAAAAAGUGAAUGUAUACUUAAUAUAAUGUUUGAAUCUUGAGCCACUUUUGGCAGUACUUUUAUAGCCCAGAAUACAGUAGCUGGUGUUGGCUUGGUUAUUCUCCAAGUUCACGCUCCUGCCCAGUAUGUGGCAGUAUGCCCCCUUUCCUGACGCGUCAGUAAAUCCUCCAAAGAAACUAGCGGAAACGUGGUGUUACUGUGUCCUUGUACGACGACCGACGUGGGGAAAAGAUGUACCGACACAUUCAAGUAAGAUAUCGAUUUAGUCAUGUUUUGAUUGCAGUUAAUAUCUGUAUUCAACGGAAUCGGGUUGACUCUUUUAAAGGCUAGUGACGAGUAGCGUCACUAGCCUUUAGCGGUUAUGGGAUGACAGGUAGUGGCUACUACUAGCUAGCCAUUUAUCUACUAAACGUUUUAUUUAUUUACUUGUGUUUAUGGCAAAUGAACUUGGUUAAAUACACAGGUAGACAGCGACAUAUUCCAAGCCAGCGCUGAUCUUAAAAUAUAUCUGUAAAACUACAGUGCCGAUGGGUUUGAAAUGUAUGCUUCUUUUUCGUAAUUUGACAGGCGCUCCAGCAUGUUUCGCGGCGGGCGCUGAGCAGCAAGGUCACACAGAAGCAUUUCCAGGAGGACAAUGAGAUUCCAAUUCAUUUGAAAGGGGGUGUCAGCGAUGCUAUCCUAAUACAGAACAAUAAUGGCACUCAUUAUUCUGGGAUCUGCGCAUGUCAUAUAUGAGCUGGUUUGUGCAGGUUUCCCCAAGAAGAAGGAGUGACUGCAGCUCCUGGGCUCACAUGUUCUACAAUACAUCCUGUUAGUUGUCAAAUGUUGUCUCCAUGUCCUCAGGGGGUUGAUUUGUCCUGUCAUAAUGGUUUCUGUUUCAUGGGAUCAAUAUUUAUUUAUUUAUUUAUUUAUUGUAACUGAGGAUGAUUAAAUAUGCCUCAUAAUGAAGUGUCAUUCGUCCUUUUUGUAUGUGUUUAAAUUUAUAUUUUAAGUACAGGACAAACCAUAACGGACGUUGGCUGUGUGAAGUAGAUCACCUGUUGUGUGGCGACGAACGGUGGUGAUUCAACAUGUAGAAUCGUCUGAAAUCGAACAGAAAAUGACGGCAGGUGUUUUGUGGUCAGAGGUGAUGGGAUGGCCACCUGCUGCCUGGAUGACAUUCAUUAUGGUGUAUCCUUUAAACUAAACUAAACUGAAUAAACAAUGUUAAUUGUUUUACGUAUUGAAAUGACGUAGAACAAUGUUGAUACAACCAGUGUAUAGACCAGGGCUCAUCAACUAGAUUUAGCCAAGGUCAAGUUUUUUUCUUUUUUUCUUGAGCGGGUUGUCAGGGGGCCGGAACAUUAUUAGCUGAUUUCCUGGUGUUUUUUGUGUUUUUCUUUGUCCAAUAAUUAAAAUAUUUUACUCCGAAAACUUGUGGGGCCAAAAUAAACCACGCCCGGCCAUAUUCGGCCCACGGGCCUCCAGUUGGGGACCCAUGGUGUAGACUAUAGAGGAAUGUUGGUGCUAGCCUAUGUCUGGUUGUCUGGUAUGAUCAUGUCGUCACAAUGGCAGAGGAAGAAAGACGUUAACAUUUUGGUCAUUUAGCAGAAGCUCUUAUCUAUCACAUUAUACAUAAGUCUUCAAACCCUUUACUCAGUACUUUGUUGACGCACCUUUGGCCGCGAUCACAGCCUAGAGUCUGCUUGGGUAUGACGCUACAAGCUUGACACGCCUGUAUUGGGGGAGUUUCUCCCGUUCCAUCCUGAUCCUCAAGCUCUGAUAGGUUGGAUGGAGAGCGUCACUGCAAAGCUAUUUUCAGGUCUCUUCGGAGAUGUUUGUUCGGGUUCAAGUCCAGGCUCUGACUGGGCCACUCAAGGACAUUCAGAGACUUGUCCCAAAACCACUCCUGUGUUCUCUUGGCUUUGUGCUUAGGGUCAUUGUCCUGAUGGAAGGUGAACCUUCGCCCCAGUAUGAGGUUCUGAGCACUCUGGAGCAGGUUUUCAUCAAGGAUCUCUCUCUACUUUGCUCUGUUCAUCUUUCCCUUGAUCCUGACUAGUCUCCCAGUCCCUGCCGCUGAAAGAAAACCCAUGCACCGUAGGGAUGGUGCCAGGUUUCCUCCAUACGUGACGCUUGGCAUUCAGGCCAAAGAGUUCAAUAUUGGCUUCAUCAGACCAGAGAAUCUUGUUUCUCAUGGUCUGAGAGUCCUUUAGGUGCCUUUUGCCAAACUCCAAGAGGGCUGUUGUGCCUUUUACUGAGGAGUGGCUUCUGUCUUGCCACUACCAUAAAGGCCUGAUUGGUGGACUGCUGCAGAGAUGGUUGUCCUUCUGGAAGGUUCUCCCAUCUCCACAGAGAAACUCUAGAGCUUUGUCAGAGUGACCGUCGGGUUCUUGGUCACCUCCCUGGCCAAGGCCCUUCUCCCCCGAUUGCUCAGUUUGGCAGGGCGGCCAACUCUAGGAAGAGUCUUGGUGGUUCCAAACUUCUUCAAUUUAAGAAUGAUGGACACCACUGUGUUCUUGGGGACCUUCAAUGCUGCAGAAAUGUUUUGCUACCCUUCCCCAGAUCUGUGCCUCCACGUAAUCCUGUCUCUGAGCUCUACGGACAAUACCUUUGACCUCAUGGCUUGUUUUUUCUCUGACAGGUUUAGAGAUGUUUGCAAAUGUAUUAAAAACGUAUAUACUUUAUUUACGCUGUCAACUGUGGGACCUUAUAUAGACAGGCGUGUGCCAUUCCAAAUCAUGUCCAAUCAAUUGAAUUUACCACAGGUGGACUCCAAGUUGUGGAAACAUUUCAAGGGUGAUCAAUGCACCCGAGCUCAAUUUCGAGUCUCAUAGCAAAGGGUCUGAACACUUAGUGUAUAGGUAUAUCAGUUUAUUUUUUAUUUUUAAUACAUUUGCAAACAUCUCUAAACCUGUUUUCUCUUUUUCAUUAUGGGGUAUUGUGUUAGAUGAGGAAAAAAAAUGGAAUAAAUGUUUGAAUAAGGCUGUAACGUAACAAUAUGUGGAAAAAGUCAAGGGGUCUGAAUACUUUCCGAAUGCACUGUACGUACAGAUCUUAUAAACACAAGUGUACCAUUUAAGGUCCAACUUCAAUGGUUUAUUUUAAAAUUGCUGUGGAAAAACACUUUGGUAUUUGUUUUAAGUAGUAAUACAAUUGAUUUUAUCUUCUACAUGUGACCAAGUGUUCCCCACUUUUGCAGUGUGGCUCUGUUUUUAAAACUUGUCUGUAAGUUUAGUACCUUAGUUCCAAACCAAGGGCACAUUAGGCCAAGGGCAGUGUUAAUAUUGUCAUAAAAUGAUACUUUGUAAAGAAAUUAGUUUAUCUACGAUUAGAAUGACGUUCCUAUUUUGGAAUGUCCUUGAGCUCUAGCCUACAGAAAUCGGACUAGAUCAUGGGAAAAUGUCAUGAGAUGCAAUUUGCUCUAUUGUUUACUUUUUUGUUGGUGAUUUGAUACGAUAUGCGUGCACAUCUUACAGUGUUGUAUAGCAGAUAAAACGUUUCUUUUUUUUGUUUCAGACUUUUAUGAAAUGUAACUUUUUUUUUUAUUACCUAGCUUUUUCUGAAGCAAUGCACCAGAAAGCAUCGCUGCAGGGCUUUCGCAUGUGCAUUUUGUCUUUUGAGCCCCUAGAGGGCAAUGUCUUCAAGGGAAUUGCUUGGGUCUCACAUUAUGAUAGAUCAAUGUUCGGGAAACUGAAUUUUCUCGUCUGUAAAAGUUGUGACAUCUCUGUUUUAAUUUCAAUAACACGUCAAUAAUCAACAACGUUCAUUUGAAAAAGUUGUUUUUAUAGAUUAUAACCUAUGUAUUUGAUAGAUGAGAAUGGAAUAGGCUACUCCAAUAGCCCCAAAAACUCCAGACACAAUUCUGGUUGUACAAUAUCACUUUAAGUUGCUCAGUGCCUUUUGAAAUAAGACUAUUUAAUUAUUAAUAACCUCUUACAUUUCAUUGCAGGAUCUGCAUAUGUCAUAUAUGAGCUGGUUUGUGCAGGUUUCCCCAAGGAGUGACUGCA